GUACUUGCUUCGGCAGUACAUGUAGUAAAAUUGGAAAGAUACAGAAAUUAGUAUGGCGCCUGUAUAAAGAUGACAAAAACCCUUAAAGAUGGAGGGGUGGUGAAGGUUUU